rnacentral:rRNA from 1 species
UACGUAGGGCGCAAGCGUUGUCCGGAAUUAUUGGGCGUAAAGAGCUCGUAGGCGGCCUGUCACGUCGGGGUGUGAAAGACCGGGGCUUAACCCCGGUUCUGCAUUCGAUACGGGCUAGCUAGAGUGUGGUAGGGGAGAUCGAAUUCCUGGUGUAGCGGUGAAAUGCGCAGAUAUCAGGAGGAACACCGGUGGCGAAGGCGGAUCUCUGGGCCAUUACUGACGCUGAGGAGCGAAAGCGUGGGGGAGCGAACAGG